rnacentral:rRNA from 1 species
UAACGCGUGGGUAACCUGCCUCAUACAGGGGGAUAACAGUUAGAAAUGACUGCUAAUACCGCAUAAGCCCACGGCUCGGCAUCGAGCAGAGGGAAAAGGAGCAAUCCGCUUUGAGAUGGCCUCGCGUCCGAUUAGCUGGUUGGUGAGGUAAUGGCCCACCAAGGCGACGAUCGGUAGCCGGACUGAGAGGUUGAACGGCCACAUUGGGACUGAGACACGGCCCAG